rnacentral:lncRNA from 1 species
GAUCACAAAUGUUUUCUAUCCCUUAGAACAAGAUUCCUUGUAAAAAUAGGAAAUUCAGUUUGUAGAAUGAAAAUCGAUACGUAAUCAUUUGAAUUAUGUUUUUGUAUUCGUUAAAAGUACAGGGUGCAAUUUUGUUAACACAUUAUGUGUUGUAUUAUGGAUAGGAUUGGAAGGUAAGGUUGUUUUAUUGAUGGUUUUGAGUCCUCCUUUGAUCGUAUAGAGGAAGAAAAAUGUUUGGCCGUCAAGAUAUAAUCUUUCUCAAAUGUGGUAAAAUCUUUAUAGUUAAAAAACAUUAAAACUAUAUUUGAUUGGUUGUAAUAGACUAUGCAUUUCACACUUGUUUAGGCUUAAUUCUCAAAUCUACAACCAAACAAAAGGUUAGGUUUAAUGGGCUGUUUAAGUUCCCAUUACAAUUCAGGGAUUGAAUACAAUUUAGCAACCCUACAUCUGAAUUGUUGUUUGGUGUAGAGAAAAAAAAAAUCCUCCAGAUACCUAUUCACAUUCAUCUUCCUCACCUAAUCAAGCCAUAAACCACCUAGCUCAUUCAAUUUCAGUGAACCAAGAAAUCUCUUCAUUGAAAGGCAACGCUACAAUGAUGUUAUUCGUUUCAGUAUAACACUCCGUCACAAGGUAUGUCUCAAUCUCUCUGUGCUUAGAUUAUACUCCAUUUGAUUUGAUAUUUCCUUAAAUAUAUAAUUUCUUUUUUGUCUUUUCACUCUAACCCCCAUCUUAAUUCAUUUGAUUUUUGAUGUUAAUGAUUUAUUAUGAUUUCUGAUUCUUUUAAGCUCUUGGUAGCAAAUCUCUCCUCUUACUCUCCAUCAAAGUAGGCUUUGCUCAAUUUCUUAUUUCUGUAAAAAUUGGUCUGCCCACUUAUCUAUAUAAUUAAAUGCAGAAUUAUUAAUCAUUCGUGGCUUUUUCUUAUAUCUAUUCUCUUAAACUAUAGGAAUACGAUUACAUUAUUAAUUCUAUCAUGAUACUCGAUUCUAUUUUAUUUAUUAGUCUAUUAUGAUACUCAUUCACUAUUCUAUUCCGACAAUAAAAAAAAAAAAGAACUCUAUUCCAUUAUAAUUCAUGAUCACCGUAUCAAUGGUUGUGAUUCUCAAUCCAAUUUCAACUAAAUAAUGAUUAAUUCAACCAAGCUCAACCGAUUUUCCAUUCCAGUUCAAAAAAUUCACGAUCUAAUCAAUCUAGUUCCAACUAUGACCUAGUAACAAACUUAUGUUUGUUUCAAUUCUUUAACACCAAAUUCAAUACUAAGAUUUAAGUUGAUGAACAAUUGCCAUAUGUAAACUUUGCCCAAUUAUAUUUCAAUUCUUAGUGUUAGUUUAAUGUUAAUUAAAUUCUAUUCUAUAGGUCAUAUAUUCAUAUAACCGUACGUUUUACUGGUAAACUCCUAAAAAACUCCUUAACAAUCCUUUCCCAUCCCCUUCUUUACAAAUACCCAAAAAUGAUUCUUUUAAAAAAAUUGAUUAAAUUAUGAAAUCAAAUUAACCAACCUAAUCGAUUGAAUCAAUUUUAAACCAAAAAAAAAAAACGAAGCUCUGAUUGAUUGGAUCUUCCACCUGCCUUUCUUUUAACCAUGACAGAGAACAUUUAAAUUACUGAAAAUCAUGACAUUGAUUUUUUUUUUUAAUUUUAGCUUAUUCUAAUACAAAGCAUACAAAGAUAAAAUUAAACAGUGAUAACGUUCAUCCAUAAUUGCACGACCAACACUGACCUCAAACAAAUCCCCCACUCUAGUAAUGAAAAACACGUCAUGGUGUUUUUCUAGUACGACAGAUAAGGGUGAAAGUACAAUCAUCUCCUUGGUUUAUUAUUAUGACAAGCUAUCAUCAAUUCCUUAAAAUGUUCAAUGUUUUUCAUCAGAUUGAAAUUGGGUCUCAUAAAAUUUACUAACCUUAGAACAGGGGCAAACUUGGUGGGAACCGCACAUGCAUCCAUUGUCUUUCAUACGUUGAUAAAUGAUUCCAUCCAAUCUCAUCCAGCAAUGACAGCUUCAUUUCGUAGAAUUUCUUCUUUGGUGGCUCUCCAUCAUCCUGAAUCAUGUCAUUUAGUACCUGCGACAAUAGCAGAUACUUGAGCUCAAGUUCCAGUACAGGGGAAACUAACCACAUUUGAAGUCAACUAAUGGGUUGUAUCGGAAAAUAACUUGUGAACAGCCUAAGGCAGUAACUAGCAUAAGCCUAAAAACAUAUCAAGGGAUAGAGAAUCAUUCCACAUAGUAUUCAAACAUUUUUUUUCCAGGCUGACAAGUGAUAUAAAGCAUUGACAAUCCAAGUUUCUUACAGUCCUCGUUCUUUCACUUCCAAUUCUUUAUUCCUAUUAUGAAAUUAGUGGUUUGUAUUGAAAGAGGGAAGAGACUUGAAUUGAAAUAAUAAUAAAUGCAUCAAUAUUCUUAAGGGGAUCCAUUUACACCUGUGUAAAACUAAAGUAGUUCUAUAUCAUUUAAUAUCUUUUUGAAUGAUUAAUAUUUUAACAACCCAACUGUUGAAUUUAUCGAUAUAAUUAUACUUAUCAUACAUGCAAUUUUUCGAACCGAUUCAAUAUGAUAGAUCUAAAAUAUUGUAUAUAUUAAUAUUUAUUGAAUAGUUGAAAGUUUUUUAAAUAAAAUAAAUAAUUGAAAAUUUAAUAUGCAUGAUCUAUAUAAACAAAAUAUGAAAAUGACAAAACCAUUAAAAUAUUAAUCGAACAAAAAGACAAAAAAGGGUGUAAGAUCACUCUAGUUUUAUACCGGUUUAUGUAGAUAGUUUCCUAUAUUAUUAUUGUCAUAGUUUCAAAUGCAUUUUAAACAAAAUACCAUUCAACUCAUCAAUUGAAAUUUUCAUCAGGUAACUUCUUUUUAGUGCUUACUAGGAUUGUAAGAAGAGAAAAUACCUUCAGUGCAGUUCCAAGCCUCCCAAAUCGCCUCUCCCGCAGUACAUAGAGGGUGCCAUAUUUAGAGGACUUCACAUCUACCCAUUUUGUCAGUUCUUUAAAGUUUUCCUCAAAUAAGUCUGACCGGAGAUCAGAACUGACAGCUUCACUUGCAGCCAAGGCUGAAGGUUUCUCACCCUAUAAUGGUGAUGAAGAAAAUGAUUAAUUCCAAUGAAGAUGAUAAACCACCAUAAACAUGCUGAUAUAAACAAUCUCAGCACCAUAAAACCAAUUAGAAAUAGGUGGAGAUGCCCGAUAUAACACCACAGAAAACCCAAUAUUUAACAUAUGUAGGAUAAAAUCACUUAACACUUCCCUCACGUGUAGCUCACACAUCCUACAAGUGGACAAUCUCACUAGAAGUCGUCAACAUCAAUGGGGUAGACAUGCUGAAAAACGUAACAGAACCUGGGCUAAAACUAGUAAUGAGACGUAUCAAAUUCACCAACGAACUAGCAAGAAAAAUGUAAUGCAGAAUGGAGAUUAGUUCAAGACAUUAAAUUCCCUCAGCUCUACCAAAAUAAUAGGUUUUGCAUAACGGCCAUGGGUUUUAUUUUUGUGCCAUUGCUUCAUAUCUUCGUCUCAGUAAUGGACUUAUAAAGUUCACUUUUCUUUGUGAAUAUGUAUGUCAAUGUUUCUUUCCACUUUGAAGAAAAGAUUAGAAAAUAACCAAUAUCAGUUAGAUAAUAAGCUUAUUUAAAUUGGAAAAUAACCAGGUGAUACAUAUACCAAACAAUACCUUUAUAGAUUCAAUCUCAGCCAGUGCAAGUCCUUUUUGGUACAGUGCUUCUGCUAAUUGAUCACGAGUUGUCUCCAUCUUCUUCUUAUUUUUCUGAAGAAAUUAAAAAGGGAAGGGGGGUUCUCAUACAUUUUGUGUAUAAACCGCAAACACUAAACCCCUAAUGAUGCACUAAAGCAUAAAUGAAAUUGCAGCACAGGAAACACCUUGGAGACAAUCAUAACCAUUGAAAAAUAAAAGUCAAGAACAAAAAAUACGUUUAGCAACUUCCAUUCUGAUAAUAUACUUGGCUGAAUUUACUAAGAGGAUGUUCAGCAUAGUAUGAGCAAAAUGAUGGAAAGGGUAGAGGGAAGAGCAAAUUGACAAUUUAAAACCGAACCUCUGAAUCCUCAUCCUCAGGAUCAGCUUUAAGUGAAAAGAGUUUUGCCAGUUCAUCUGCAUCGAUACUAUCAAUCACCUCAUCUGCCGCACUUAUAAUCUGAAAAGUUCAACUAUAUUAGUUAAGGAAAGCAUUUAUUUCAGAUUUUCCAUUUCAGUUUUGAGUACUGUAAAAGAUAAACUGACAACCUUAAUAUCAGUCUCUUAGCUACUUCUCAUGUUUGGUAUUUUUAUAUAUUCUGGCCAGUAUUUUUUGCUAAAUACAUAAACUUCAAGCAUCUCCAGUAGAUGCAGGUUAUGAACUUUCAACAAGUCCCCCGCUAGAACCAAGAGAGGGUUCAAAUUUUAGGCCUUCAUGGGGCUCACUUAAAUAUCGUUAUGCUUAAAAAUAAAUAAAAAAAAGAAUAUGAAAGCUAGCAACCUAUAAGGAUACUUUCCACUUGAUACCAAAAAAUGAAAAAAAAACAACUUUUAGGCAUGCAUAUAUGUCAUCUUUACGAGUUAAAUAAGUAACAUCCACUCUGAAGUGAGUCAUUGAUUUACCACAUUAUAUCUCUGAAGGUAGUUCAGAUUAGCAACAUUGAGCAACUGAGAAGAGUUACAUGGCAGCAAAGCACAAAACAAAAUGAAGGGAAAAACCUCAACAAGACACUUUACAAAGCAAACUCAAGAGAGCCAUCAGCAUUUUCAUACCAAAAUAUGCUUUCAAUACGACUCACCUUUUCAUAAUAGUGGAUUUUGUCCCCAAUAUUGCUUCGUGAAAGCAAACUUUCCAAGAUCUUUACAAGCAAUGGAGUGUACUUAGGGUACUCAGACUGCCAAAGAACACAUGUUACAUAUUAAAAUAGGUACAGCACACUAUUGACUGCCUAAGACAAGCAGCUCCAAAAACAUCCACUUCCAGAUUUAGACAUGUUUUCAUCUAGUUUCAGGAAUUAUAUGGCAACUAAAACACAAUUGACUGCAACAAGCUACAAUAGCACACUUCUCCCACUAAAAAAUUAACCGGACUGAAAAUGGAGGCCGCUAAACCUUCUCUGCCAUUUGACAGCCAUUUAGACAGUUAUAAGACAAUAAUCAGCUUGUACUUAAAGAACUAAUAAACUUAGGUGCUGCAAAUUAUUUUUCAGGUAUAACUUGUACGUAAAUUUUACAUACCACUUAUUCCUAGCUAUAAUAUUGCUACAAGCUCACCGCUAUUUGAAAAGAAAAAAACAGAACACUCAACCUGAUAUAUACUAGACUUGCAAUGUAGCAUUCACUAACCAAGAGACCCUUUGACAGAAAGUGGAGAAAGUAACGCUUAGGGAGAGAGGAUGACUCCUCAUAAAGAAAUAUAUCCUUCUUCAACUCUUCGCAUAGAGUACACCUAAACUAAAGAAAGGACGACAGAGAGUUCUAACCUUGAGAGAUUGAGCUAAUUUUUUCCAUUCUGAGCGAUCUUCAUCACUAUCUUGCUUCAGGCUUCCAAAAACCUUUAUUUUUGCCUCUCGAACCUGAUUGAGGAAUUGAACAAGCAUUACUCCAUAUGUUAACACCAGAGAAAACAAAUGUUUUAAAAAGCUAGUUGAUCUUGAUGAAAUUUGUUCCGGUUAUCUUAAUCGAUACCAUACAAUAGUAAAAAUUUUUCAAAAUAAAUGAACUAUUCAAAGCAAAAAACACCAAAGUGAUUAUAUGAAUAUAUGGGCAAAAAAAAUCAUUAAGUUAAUAUAAGAGAUUAUUAUAGUUUGACAACAUUUAAAAAGUAUGAGAAAAAAACUUUGCAACUAUUUGAUUACCAAAUAUCGAGGUUAGCAUAAACAUUUGUGCAAGUACCUCUUCUUGUAAACGUUCGGCCAUAGGUUUAGUGCUAGCUGAAGAAGAACCUUUGCCUUUGUCUUCAUCAAUCUGUCAAUGAAAUGCCAUGAGUCAUGGCAGAAGAAAGAAGAAUGCAAAACAUGGAAGUAAAGCUCCAGAGUGCAUCACUUAACCAUAGAAGCAUUAUUAGGCCUUCCCAUAAGUACCAUACAAGGUGUAAUAGAAAUAUGUAAAUAUUACAUGGGUAAAGGCAAAAGUAUCACAACCUUGCUGGGUGGCACCACAUAAGAUAUCUGAUAUGAUACAGGAUUCUUCUGUGGAUUUUUUCCCUCUCCAGCAUAUGAUAGGUUCCCGUGUGAUAUUGCUCCCAGCAAUACAGAUCCUUGUGAGGAACACUGCAGGAACAAUUCAAUUGUUACAUCUUCUAUGCUGUUUACUUAAGUAAAAGAGACAUCAAAAAAUGUACUACCUUUGGAAGCUUAUCUUUGUUUGGUGGACUUAAAUAAAAUGAUUCCUUUAUCCUGAAAAAUAAUGCUUCAAGUUAAUUAGAGAGUAAAAAUAAGAAAACAAAUUGGACAGGAUUGCUGAGAAUAGCCUAGAUGAAUUACAUAUAUUCGAAAUCAGACAUACCCUGGAACCAAAAUAGAAUAUUUAAAGGUACCAUUCCCCAUCACGGGGCCAUCUGGUUCAGAGAAAAAGUUCAAUGGAAAAAUGUCCUGAUUUCAAAAUAACCACAGGGAUAGUAAUGAGCAUACCUCAUAAACCUUUCCAAACAACCAUGGAAGAUGAAAAUAGCUAAAGAAAUCAAUACUAAUUUAAAGCAAUUUGACAAUACAUCUACUAUUAUGCCAAUAGAAAAAAUACAAGACCUAAGAGGCAAUGGUUAAACCAUUUUCUGCAUGCAUGCCUUAUAAUUUAGAAGCAGUGCUUUUAAUAUAGAGCCAUUUCUAACGUGAAUAAAGAAAACAAACAAACAAAGACACGAUAUUACCUUUUCCUCCAAAUUCCUUUCCAGAAACAGAACUAAUUGCUUCAUUUUUUCUAAGUACUGGACAUUGUCAUGCCUGAAACAUGAUAAGUCAAUGUAAGUGAAAGCAAGCUUGGAUUGAAGCAUCUCAUUAGAAGAGAUUGAUAGGAUGAGAAUUCCUGUUUGCAGCUAUCCUACUACAAAACCAAUUUCCUAAACCUUCAAAAACAAGAAAGAAAAUGGAAUAUAAGAACAGACAAUCUCAAAGUUACAAGAUAAUCGUGAUAUUCAGGAAUUCCUUUAAUUAGCUAAAACCAGAACAGAGGGCCUAUAAAGGAGUUGUUUGGGGGCUAGGGAGGAGAAAAGCCACACCAGUAUCCAAAAGAAACUAAUUUCAUUUGAUAAUUUUUAGCCACACACAUGACUUGGUUUCAGCAAGUGGAAGGAAAUUUUUUUAUUUAUUUUCAAGAGGUCUUUUUUGUACUAGAGUUUUACUCAUCCUUCUAAUAUUGAGUUCGAAUUAGUACUAAUUAUUUUAACACUUAUGUAUGGUUAAGCUUGCUUUUCCUUGAUUUAAUAUACUAAAUAACCAAACGAGGCAUGAAUGUCUAGUAUAAAGCACAUCUAUAAGUACCUUAAGUACAGUCGCAGUGAGUAUUCACCCUUUGGAAGUUGUGAAGAGGCUGGAUAACAAUCACCCAUUGCAUAUACACGCUAUAAUUGAUGAGAGCAAAAGGAUUUUAACAGGUCAGCAAAAUUGUGGCACAAGAAGGAAGUAGGAGCAAAUUAGAAACCCAUUAUGGUAGAACAGAAUAAAGCACUGGAGAUGUAAAAUGUGGAUUCUACAUGAUUUGGAAUAAAGCAUAUUUGUCCAGAUUUGUUGCUACUGAUUCUUUUCAAAAUGAUUGACAGUACAAAUAAAAAUGUACCUUGUUUGUGUCAGAAAUCAUGUAAAAUUGGGACUCAAAUUUUGUGUCAUAUAUACGAUUAUUGAGCAAUGGAAUAUGCGGUUUCACUUCUGCUCCAUCUUCCAAUUUAAAGUGGUAACUGUAGAAGCAAAAAAAGUAAAGCGCACAAACAGUAAUUGAAGUGAUUGAUUACAUAUGCACAUAUAAAGGACAUUCUUCCAUAAGCAACUGAAAAAAUACACACGUUAGUGUCAAUGCCAGUAUCUGUUUCCCUGAUGGUAAUUUGUCACGAUUAGUUGGAAGAGUACAAAGUUUUGCCUCAGUAGGUCGAUAUGGAACUCUUAUCUGCAUAUUGAACAUAUAAAAAAAACAGAAAAUUAAAAAAGAGCGUCUUAUUAAAUCCAAGCAAGAACAUCAAAAGGAAAGCAAAAAGCCCAAAGGAAGAGAAAGCCUAAAUGGCCUACAUGGCACUGUACAGGAUAGACUUCAUUACCUUGUUUAAAGUAGCAGUAGGGGCAAGUCUUUCAGAGGCCAAUAGUGCUUCAGCCUCAAUUCUGAUGGGUGCUUCACUUCCAUCAAGGACUACUUCAGUUCUGUUGACUCCAAUUCCAUGAAAGACGAUCUAAACCAUUCAUAAAAAAGAACCCAAACAUAAGACUCUCAAAUGCAAGAUAAUUUAAAACAGUAUUCCCAUGUUCGCUUCAUUGAGAUACCACAACUUACAGAGCAUGCAACAGUAAAUAAGUAAAAGAUACUUGGUAAGGUUCUCACAAGCCAAAACUAAAACAAAACUUAUGCAGGAUAAAGCAUCGUUGACAUAGGCAUGGCCCCAGGUUGGGGAAACACAUCUAGAGAAGAAAGCAGAAAAUCAAGAAAAUUGAAAAAGAAAAGUAGACCAUCCAAGUGCAACUUCAACAAAAUGGUCUAGGGUGGCAAAUAUUCACUAACUGAGCAAUUAUAGAAGCAGUAGUGAUAGUAGGAGAUAAAAUAAAAAUAAAAUGAACCGAUCAAAUAAUCAGUAGAAAAGUUAUUAGCAGAAGAAAGUUUCUAGAUUUUUUGACAGAAAAUUACCUCAAAAUCUACAAUUGUCGUCUCGUGACUUCCCAUGCCACUUGACCAAAACUGAGCUAUUGCUAAUUCCAUUGUUUGACCACCUACAACAGGAAAGUCAAAGCUUUUGGCAGUAGGAGAAGAAAAUGUUACAACACUCUCCCACUUGAUAGGCCUUCUCAAUGGACAGAGCUGCACAUUUUAAAACAAGUCAAGACUUAGGUCAAUCUGGUAUGGGUUCAAAGUGCAUGCUAUACCUGAACGGUGUCAACAAAAAAUCGUCUACUAGUAUCAAACCCAGAUGUCCUCAUGGUAGCCUCAACCCAACUAGCACCAAGCGGUACUUCUAUAUACCUUCGUUCUAUGUGGCCUAGACAACCACAAAGGAGAAAAAGGGAAUCAACUCAUGGAACAAUCAUAGCAUGAAAGAAUUUUUAAUGUAUAAAGGGUACAGAAAAUAUAAGUUGGGACGAAUUCUAUGACAAAAUAACCUGGAAGGAAUGACAUCUUUGAGAAUGAAACCAGUGGUGGCCGAUUCAAUACAGCCUUGGGCUUUGUUAUAGUAAUUGGAAUUCUGAACAAAGGACCACGCCAUGGGGCUUUGCAAUCAAUUCCAUAUACUUCAUAAUAGUGCAGCCCAUCAGCCAGAUUGGAGGGAUCAACAACUACACUGAAAAGAAACGAAAAUAAUGCACCAUUAUCAAACAAGCAAUCUUCCAAGAUCACAAAUCUAAGCAUCCAACCCAAAACCAAUUGGUAAGAGAUGGAGGGCCCAAUAAAACCACUAGAAACCCGAUGCAUAACAGAUAUGAGAUAACACUACUUAAUACUCCUCUUUUGUGUAGCUGUUAGGACCUACACAUGGACAACUUUACUGGAAGAACAACAUAACAAAACCCAGACUCAAACAUCUUAAUCAUCCAAUCAUAAACCCAUUAGCAAGAGGUGGAGAGGCCCAACCGUAACAUACAACCAUAUAAAACCCAAUACUUAACAAAGUGGGAUAACAUUACUUAACACAUCAAAUAUGGAAAUUACAGAAAUUUUGAUUCAUCUACCUUACAACUCAAAAGAGGAUGGCAAAAUAAAUAAAUUGUAGUAAAAUGAAGUUCACAAAAAUGAAUAAAAAAAUUGGAGUUGAUAGACAAACUGCACACAAUUUAUUAGAAAUAAGAACUUUCAUAUGGGUAGUGAAGUAUGUUUACUAACUUGAAGGUGCGCCCAUUAUGAGUGAGGAGAAGAUACUCAGGUGCUCUCACAACUGCAUUAUUACUAGAGCGCAGCUCAAUACACUCCUCAAAGGGAACCAAUUGUUCUAAUUUACUUGCAUCAUCAUGAAACCUUGGUUCAACAUGCACUGCCCACUAUUUAAGAUGUAAGUUUAGCAGCUUUAAAAAUCAAGGAUAAGCAGAAAACAUGAAGUUGUAAGCAGGUGGGGAUUGAAUAUCAGAAACUAAAAUAAUCAUUUUUUUUUCCUUUUGAAAAUGAACACUUAAUGAAGGGAACACCACAUAAUUAUUUAGUAAUAAAUGAAAAGCAAAGAGCAAAAAAGUAGCCAUGGACAAAAAAGUUAUAAAGUAUAUAAAUCAGCACACCUCAGUAGACUGUUGGCAAGCAGUAGCCUCUCUUAGGUAGAUGCCUCGUGAUAUAGGAGCUGCAAGUGAAAUACACAGUAAAAUGGAUUGUAAAUGCAUGAAUGAGAUGGACCAAAGGACAAGCAGUUCCUAAUGGAAUAGGUAACAAAGCAACUUUCCCACCUACUGCCACUAAAUCACCACUUCCCCAUGUCAAACUAGCGCAAAAGAUAGUUAAGUUCCAUAGCUAAAUCCAGAAUCCAUUGAGAGAACUCAAGCUUCUAAACGUUCUCAUUUGCGAAAUGGAUGCUCAUAACAAACAGGAUAUUAAAUAAAAAUCAGAAAAAAGCUGACUCCCAAUAUCAAAGCAAGUCCUUAAGAAGUUAGAUAAAACAUAAAAAGUUUAUCAUUAUUGCUCUUGGCACUAGGUAGAGUUUAUCAAUUUAAAACAAAAAACUCUUCUAUUAAUGAUUUGAGGCUUGCCUCUGAUAUUUAAUGAACAUCCACAAAUUUUUGGAUCGUAAGUAUAAUAGUACUGAACACAUUGAACACUGGAUAGCAUUUUUCAGCACAUCAACCUAAACUUACUUGAUUUUCCAGAUUGAUUAACCUUUAUUUGAUAACAAACACAUGAAAGAUCUUGAGACUUCUGUAUAUAUUCAUAUGCUCUGCCAAACAUAAGAAUCAAAGAAGUUCAGAACUAAGAAAUAAUAUAUAAAGAAGCAAAGGCUAUGGCCAAAUUUCCUACUUGUCAACUUGCAUAAGCCCUUGACCAGCGGUUAGCUUAUCUUCGGGCAAACCACCUACAGGAAUGGAUGUAUUCUCAAGAGCUAUCCUUACACUAUAUGGGCUCACAGGAAUUCCCUCAGCCUACAGACAACAUUAGAUAAUUUUCCUUUAGACACCACAACAAGAGGGAAAAAAUGGAGAGGGGAAACAAACAAUCAAAAACUCAAAUAAAGGAACUCAAAUAAUCCAAAGAAAAACCUUCAUAGCACUAAUAAGCAGUGCGAUUCCCCCACAAGCAGAUGGAGACGCCAUUGAUGUUCCAUUCAUGAGCAUGCGCCCUUGGAGAGUCCAAGUAGGAACAGGGGCAACAGCCCCUCCAGGAGCACUUAUACAAACUCCAAGAUCUCCAUCAGCUGUUGGUCCUCGGCUGGACCUGCAUCCAUUGCAACCAAUUUCAACGAGUUAAAGAUGAACAAGGACAAGGAUUGAGAGCUGGAAAAAGUGAGACUAUAUGUUUGAAGGCCAAACAUGGAAGAACUGAAAUUAUCUUACCAAGUGUACUCAAGCCCUUCGGGUGGAGGUUCAACUACAGAAUGAGCACCUGCAGCCAUUGCAGGAGAGACAUAUGCACCAACUCCUAUGAUGCUUGAAGAGGUACCACCUGGAGCACCAACUGUGCUCAAUGCUGGCCCACUAUUACCAGCACUACUCACAAAUAUCAAACGAUAUUUAUUCACGACCUAAAUUAGACCCAAAGAUGACACCCAUAACAUCUUAGAGAGAGAGGAAAAUGAAGGUAAACUACACUAAACAAUUAUGCCUAUAAGGAAAAUUUGGAGUUCUUACUUCAUUAACAAGAUCAACAAAGCGUCCAUAGUCAGGUAAUAAUGUAGGUUCUCCGUAGCUCAUGUUGAUCAGAUCACAUUUAUGCUGUGAAAUAAAAAGGAGGUAAAACAGCCAAAUGGUUACAAUUAAAAUGUACCAGAUUGAAGUCAGUGAUAUGACACAUUGACACAAAGGGACACCCAAGUACCAUUUGCAGUACAGAGACAAUAUGCUAAAAUAGCUAACCACCAACACAAAAUGAAUACAAACAUCAAAAGAAAAUAUGAAUAUAUGUUCUAUGCUCAUAUUAAAGGAAUGAAUAGACUGCAGAUAUGCCAGAUGGUCAAAAAAAAUCAAGAUAAUAAAUGCCUCAAGGGCCAUAACAACACAAAGGUGAAUAAAUCAUCAGAAAAAUGCACUUUUAACCACCUCCACAGCAGCUAUUAGUGCCCGUGUCAAGCCUGUUCCAGUCUCCAUCGAACCUAAGCGUGCAUCUCCAAUUUUACAUGAAAUUAUCUGGGCUCCAGGUGCAACACCAUUUAACAAGGGCUCCUAAACCAUCAUGCAAAUCAGAAGACAUUUUUUAUGAGAACUCUGAAAAGAAAAUGCCAUAAACCAUCAGUUAAGCAUACAGUACCUGUGGGUGGAAAGCAGUAGCAAUACCAGCAACAUGAGUAGCAUGAGGAGAGCAGUCUGUAACAAUACUUAAGAUGUUUCCCUCGUCAUAUACAUUAACAACAAAUGUACAAGCAUCUAAUUCACUAAAUAUGCCAUAUUUCUGUUCAAUCCUGCAAGGAUUAUUUCAGUAGAGUUAGAUAAUAAUUAUAUUAUGUUUGUUUCAGAAAAAACGAAGCACAAAAUCAAAGAGGGGCACUUAAAAUUUUUUAAGACAAGUGGUUAACAAUAUGAAACAAUAUGCAAAUAGAAUGCCACGUGCAACCAGCCAAGCAAAAAUCUAGCAAGGAGCUUCAUUAAUAUUAACAUUCUCCAUCAUUAAAAAACCACUUCAUUGCCUUUGUAUAAAUUUCUGCCAAAGAAAUAGUAGUCAGCCAGGUGAUAAGAUAAAUGACAAAGACACAGACCUGUAAUUAGUUAGGGGCACAAAAUCAGCCAGUUUCCCACAUUUACGAUCAUCAUGAAGACUCUGAGUGUCAAGAGCAACCCUCCAUAAUUCUCCAUCAUGCCAUACGACAGCAUCUAUAACAGGUCCUUUAUCAUCAUAGCUCUAGCACAUUAACGUGAGAAAAGCUCAGAACAAUGUAAAUAUAGUUAAAUAAAAGCAAUUAAUAAAUCCUUGGUACUCACAUCGCCCUGCUUUUUUAAGAGGUCUAUUCUAUUCUGGAGAUCUUCACGAGCCCUUUUCAAUUUUAGAUCCUCCACUUUUGUAUAUUUCUGUAUACAUGGACAUAGAAAUUUUCAAUUUUAGAUCCUCCACUUUUAAUGGUAACAAAUGCAUGCAGCACAAGUAUGAUGAUAGAAAUUUACCCACCAUCUUUAUCAUGGAAGACUUUUCUACUUACCCCUAGAGAACCUUCAUUAUCAUGGAAGAAACCAAACAUAUUUUGAAGCAUAUGAGCGAUUAAUGAACUUGAAUUAUAAGAAGGUUAAAAUAAUCACUUAUCACCAAAAUGAAUGAUACUGAGUACAGAAAGCAUGUAAUCUUUUUGUUGCUAACCAAAGAAAGAGCGAACUCAUCCCUCAAUGCUCAUAUAUUUCAAAUUGAAGUCAAUCUUGCCAAAUUAGUGAAGAUAUAAUUAAGGCAUUAGCUACACAGCACUGUCACAGCACAAGAAAUAAAUAAAUCUGAAGAACUAGUUAUGCAUGCAAAUAUAUAUGGAAUAUAUAUUUGACAAUUUGCAUGCAAUUAUACCAGGUUUAUUCAAACUAAAGAAAAAUCUAUUUGAAAUAUGAAUAUCUAUGUCUAUUAUCAUACAGAAAGAGAUUAGCAAGUGGAAUUUUCAACAACCUGAUCAAAUUCAUCAAGAUGCAAUACAGCCUUUGCAAUCUCCUCCUGGUUCUUUUCAUCCCAUUUUCUCUUUCUUUCUUUCUGCAACAUGAAUAAUGAAGGGAAUAAUAAGAAGACAGUCAUUCAUCAGUUAAUUUAUCAUGGUCAAUAGCAAAAAUUCAAAAAUUCUCAUGAAUUAAACAGAAAAUAGUUCUUACCUUUAUACGUGAAGUCAAAGUGUCAGUAAAGAGCUCAUAAAUCAAUUUAUAGCCCACAUGCCACUCACCAGAAGGGUUUUUCCAAGAAGAAUUGACAACCAAUGAAGCCCCUAUAUAUCAUUUUUUAUCAAAAUACAGAACAUGGGAUCAGAAAAUAGAAAGUCAAGUCAGAAUCAUGAUUAUGCUACAAGGAUAUAUACAAAAAGACAAUAGCACAGAACAUUGCCAAGAAGCUAAAUACUGUCACACAAGUACAAGAGAAUAAUCCACCAUGCUCUGAACAUUUGAAGAUUCACACAUUUUAUUAACAAAGAUAAAGUGAAGGAGAAACUAUCCAAGAAUUACAUGAAAAUAGACCCUAUUGAUCAAUCGGAAGACAAACUACAUGAAUAACCUAUCAUUUAGCAUUUAAUUCAGUAAGUUUUAGCAACCACUCCAAUGCAGAACCAAGUAAACCUCGAGGAACAAGAAAAGGAACUCCCAUCUUUUGCUAUAAUAAUAUAUAUAAUUACAAAUGUGAAUAAUCUUUUGUACUAACAAAAAUACUCUUAUUAUAUUACUAAAUUGACAUUAGAAUAAUAUUUUAUUUUAGCAUAUUACUUAUUAGAAGAUUUACAAAAUUAUAUAUCCCCCAUGUCAAGUCGAAUUACACUUCUUUUCUAUGUUGAAUCGCACUUUCACUAUGAUUUUAAUUAUUCCCUUAGCUCGAUAAGCAACGAACUAUAAUAGUAGAUUAAUUCGCACUUAAUUUGUAUUACAGAUAUUAUAAUAUUUGAAUUAUCAAAAUAAGUAAAUAUAUUUCAAAUAUAUUCAGCAAGUUGAACAAUGAUUGGUUUAUAUGUAAUAAAUUAAAAUUAAAAACGUAAAAUCACUUUAUUCAAAAUUAAUCUACUGCACAUUUCCAUAAUCACAAGUUCAUCAAAUAUGUCAGCAAUAAUACAACCUGAAGCUCCUUGAAUUCGACCAUCUUUAUCAGCCUUCACCACUUUUGAGGUAUCAACAUCUCCACUCCCAGUACUAAAUAAAUAAAUAAAUAAAUAAAUAAAUUCUCAAGUAACUUUAAAAUAUAAUAAGUAAAUAACAAGUUCAAGAAACAGAUAGUACAGCAAGCUGAAAAAAAGAAGUACCAGUCAAUAACAUCUAAGAUCUUUGGCUUCCCAUCUGAUGUCAGUUGCAAGCCAGAAGCAGCAGGGUCAACACCAGAAUCUGAAAACAACAAUUUUAAUCAAAAUUUUUUUUUAAAAAAAGAUCAAGAAUCAAACACUUGCUUUCUUUUCUCUUCAUUUACAGAUUCUUUUUUUUUAUUAACAGUCAAAAGAAGGUACCAAAGAUUGCGAUGACGGCGCCGCGACCGUCGUAAUGAGGAUGAGCUUCAAUG